CCCCCUCCCCAGAGAGAUGAGGCAGAGGCAGCAGCCCCACGUGGAAGACACCCCUGCUCACGCCGGAAGCAGUCGGUUUCCUCUGCAGGGUGCUGGAGCUCCGGCCAACCUCCUUAACAGCAGGUUUUUUUGUGGAAUCUUUAGGAUUUUCUACAUCUCAGAUCACACCACCUACCAACAGAGGUCUUUUUUUUUUUUUUUUUUUGCGGUACGCGGGCCUCUCACUGCUGUGGCCUCUCCCGUGGCGGAGCACAGGCUCCGGACGCGCAGGCUCAGCGGCCAUGGCUCACGGGCCCAGCCGCUCCGCGGCAUGUGGGAUCUUCCCAGACCGGGGCACGAACCCGUGUCCCCUGCAUCGGCAGGCAGACUGCCAGCCGCUGCGCCACCAGGGAAGCCCCAGCAGAGGUCAUUUUAUGUCUUCCUUUCCCAGCUGGAUGCCUUUGGGGCCAGUUCCCCGGGGAUGGCCCAUUCCACUGGCUCUGCACAGAGAGCCCUCUCCGGCCCGUCUACAUCAGUGUGACUACAUAGGACACUUGUAUUUCCUACUUUAUUCUGCAGAAAGGCCCCGGGCCCCACCGUGAACUUCCCGUUAUCGCAGGCGGCUGUGUGCUGGCCCCCGAGGCCUUCCUGCGGGCAGAAGUGACGGGGCCCUUCUAGAAGUGCGAGCGCUACCGCUACCAUCAGCCUUCACGUGUGCUAUCGUGCCUUCAGGUGCCACAGGGGCAUCUGUGGUCCCAGGCGGAGCCCCAGAAACCCCGAUCAGCGUCAGGGAGACAGUGGGCACACUUCCAUCCCCUGCUGCGGCUAAGAGCUACCGCUACGGCCUGCGUGCCAGGCCCCCCGCCCCCCCAGCCCCUCCCUGCCCGUCGGAGCCAAGAGUCGCCGUCAACGUGAUCAGGGGAGCUGACCCUGGCUUUGGGUUACCGUCCUCCACGCUUUGUGUCUUCACUUCCAGCCCCAAGUGUCCGCACGUGAAGACUUCUGAAUACUGCUUCAGUGGAAUACUGAUUCAGUGGACCUCAGUAGGGCCAUUCAGUAUUUUAAUUGCUUCCAGCCCAUUCUAUUUUUCUAACGAUUUGUCCAUUUCAUCUAUGUUUUCAGAAAUGUUGACAUAUGGUUGUUUACAGCACUCUCUAAUUACCUCUCUUUUUAAAUUGAUGUUUGCACUUCAGAAAAUUUAAAUGUAUAUACAGUAAGAUUCACUCUGCUGCGUUCGGGCCUGUAGGUUUUGACAAACGCACACGGUUGUGUAUCCACCAGAUGCUACAGAAGAGCUCCAUCACCCCCAAUUCCCUCCUGCUGCCCUUGGGAGACAAUCCCUCCCUGACCCCCAACCCCUAGCAACCACUGAUCUAUCUCCCUCUCUCUCAAUUUGUCUCUUCCAGAAUGUCACGUGAAGGGAAUUAUACAGCCUUUUGGGUCUGGUGUCUUUCCCACAGAAAAGGCACUGGAAUUUCAUCCCUGCUGGGCACACGGAUAGCCCCUUCCUCUUACGGCAUCCGUGGACGGACCUCAGGGGUCACCUCCUCACCAGCUGGAGGACACCUGGUUUGUUUCCAGUUUGGGGUGAUCAUAAAUGAAGCUGCUAUAAAGAUUCAUGCAUAGGCUUUUGUGUGAACAUAAGUUUUCCUUUCUCUUGAGGAAAUACUGAGAGUAGAAGUCCUGGGUCACCAGAUGGUGAGAAGUGACCGCGCUCUUCCACGGGGCCGCACCACUUUGCGUUCUCACCUGUGAUAUGUAAGAAAUGUUUGCUUCACAAUUUCGUCAGCAUUUGGUGUUGCCAUUUUAUUCAUGUCACUAGCUUCCACCAUUCUCAUGAGUAUGCGGUGGCAUUGCACUGUGAUUUUAAUUUGCAUUCCCCUAAUGGCAAAGGACGGGGAGCAUCUUUCCAUGUACUUAUUUGCCAUCAUCCGUGCUGUGUUCAGAUCUUUGGUGCAUUUUUUGGGGGGGUGCUGCAUUGGGUCUCCAUUGCUGCGCGUGGGCUUUCUCUAGUUGCGGCGAGCGGGGACUACUCUUCGUUGUGGUGUGCGGGCUUCUCAUUGCGGAGGUUUCUCUUGUAGAGCAUGGGCUCUAGGCUCGCGGGCUUCAGUAGUUGUGGCACGUGGGCUCAGUAGUCGUGGUUCGCGGGCUCUAGAGCGCAGGCUCAGCAGUUGUGGCGCACGGGCUUUGUUGCUCCGCGGCAUGUGGGAUCUUCCCGGACCGGGGCUCGAGCCCGUGUCCCCUGCAUUGGCAGGCGGAUUCUCAACCACUGCGCCACCAGGGAAGCCCCUGGUCCAUUUUUAAAUCGGGUUGCUUGUUCCUUUACCGUUGAGCUCUGGAAGUUCUUUGUAUAUUCCGAAUACAAGUCCUUUAUAACUGAUACACGGUCUGCAACCAUUCUCCAGCAGUCUGUGGCUUCUCAUUUCCUUUUAAAUCUAAAAUUGUAUCUUCUUCUUCUUCUUCUUUUUUCCGGUUCGCGGGCCUCCCACCGCUGUGGCCUCUCCCAUUGCGGAGCACAGGCUCCGGACGCGCAGGCCCAGCGGCCAUGGCUCACGGGCCCAGCCGCUCCGUGGAUGUGGGAUCUUCCCGGACCGGGGCACGAACCCAUGUCCCCUGCAUCGGCAGGCGGACUCCCAACCACUGCGCCACCAGGGAAGCCCCCGUGUCUUCUUUUUGAUUCACAUUGUUUAAUUUGUGUUUUUUCUUUCCUUUUUUUGUGUGUUUAUUUUUCUCAGAAGUUGGUCUGUUUUGUUGGUUGAUUCUUUUCAAAGAACUAACUUUGUCUCCACGGACCUUCUCCAUCACACCUUUGCUUCCUAUGUCAUCCAUUCCCAAGCUUAUUUUUAUUUCUGUUUUCAAACUUUCUUUGGGCUUAUUCUGUCCUGCCCCGCAAAAUCUUCUUUUUCCCCCCAUCAUCUUCCUUUUAUUUGAUUUACAAAAUUCAGGGACACCUUUGCAUUCGGUAUAAAAUCUCCCCUCCUGCCCUUUGCCUCCCCCACCCCACGCCUCCUGAACUUCCUAAGACGGGGAUGCAGCUCACAGACCCUGCGGCUUCCUUCUCUUCCACACAUGCAGCUGGAUACGUAGUGCUUUUUAUUCUCAUUCAGUGCUAGGUAUUUAAAAAUUCCUAUUAUGAUCUCUUCUUUAGCUCACGAGCUUUUAGCAGCACGUGUGUGUUACAGUGCUUGUCUAUAAACAUAUCCCCUACACUGUAUUAUAUUUUCAAACACACGGCACAGUUAGAAGAAUUGUACAGGGAAACCCCACAUACCCAGCACCUACGUGUUACAGUGCACAACUCACUGUCUCUUUCAUUCAUCUCUCCAUCCAUCCAUCCACCCAUCCACCCCUCUGUUCCUCCCUCCUUCCUCCAUCCAUCCAUCUGCCCACCUCUCUAUCCAUCCACUGUGCCCCCUCCCUUUUCCCACUUUCUUAUCUUGAGAGCCUGACUACAACUGGGGGUGCUGCUUCCACACCCCGUGCCCUGGUAAAUGGGAAACCAAGGACAAAGACCUGAUGGCUGGAUCCUUGGGGCUGCUGCCUGCCCACCACCCACCCAAGGGCCUACUGUGGGCUCAGGACAGGGGUCUCAGACAUUCCAGGGGCUCAAAGUUUGCCUCCUAGGAGCAGGCAAAGGCUGAACCUUUCUCUGGACUGUGCAAGGUGUGGACAACCCUGGUCUGCGGGGUUAAUCCUGUACUGCACAGGCCCUGAAAAGGGUCCUCUGAGGGUGACAGUGAAGCCAAGCCUUGCAGGGUGAGUUCAGGGAAGGGCUCAGGAAAGGCUGAACCCUCGGCGACUGGGACACGGGGUGGGAGUGAGGUGGGCAGGGGAGGGGCAGGUGAGCAGGCCCUGGGCAUUGCAGGGAGUGAUGGCCGGGCUCAGGCAAUGCCACAGCGAGAAGUGGGCUAUCCAGCCGACUUGCUCCUCCCUCCGUGGCGCUGGACCCUGGGAAGGCAGGUGUCUGGGGAGGGUCCCAGGGCUGGAGGUUGGCAGCGCCCCCCAGAGGGAGAAGCCUGCUUUGCAGGGCUGCUUCCUGCAGCUGAGCCUUGGUUCAGGGUGGGGGUCACUACUCUAGGCUGGGCUCCCCUCACCUCCUCCCCCGCUGCUCCCCAGAGUGGCCAGGCCCUGGUGACAGACGUGCCCUCCCAGCUGUCCAGCCCCAGGCCCAGGCCCCCACGGCCCCCAGGCUCAGGGCAGAGUCCUCUGGUCCCAGAUGACCUCUCCUGGCUCAGCCACUUCCCCAGUGAGCCUGGGGCCCACCUUCCCCUCCUCCAGCUGGGCCAGCUGUCAGCCCUCUCCGCCCUCCAGAGGCCCAGCUUCCCCGCAGCCUGUUUCUCUUCGGGACAAGGUGGACCAGCAACCAGGGAAUUCUCUUCUCUCCCCGCCCCCACCUCCAUUUUCAUAGGGGAGACAAAGGCAUAGCCUGGGCCAGGUGCUUAAGGUCACCUCACAGGGACACAGCUGGGGACCCCAAGUUCCAUCCACCUAAUGCCCCAAAUAGCCGCCUCCCUGUUCCCCUCUCGCACAGAAACUCCAAAAUGAGGCGAGGAGUCCGCAUCUCGGGAAGCCGCGGGCCGGCCUGGGGAACCGUAUCGGCUCCGCUCCGCCGGCCCCAUCGCGCUGCCUGGUGGCCAUGGAAGACACUGCGCCCUCCGGGCCUCGCUCCCGAGCUGCCUCUCGGCCGCCGGCGGGCGCGGGCGCCUCCCUCGCCUCGCGGCCCAGAGCCCCUGUCCGGGAGGCGUCGGUGACGGCAGAGGAAGGCGGAGAUGCGAAAAUCGAGGCACAACUGGGAUUCGCACCCAAGAUGCAGACGCCGCCCCCAACUCACGUAGAGGUUUGCUCAGAAACAGUUGGUGGGUCAUGACCUGGGGGGGUCGUCACCGAGCCCCAGGGUCUCACCUGUAUGUCGAGCAGGACCCGCCCCCCCCCCUUCCAAGGUGGUGAGAAUUCCCGGCGCAUGUGCCGGCACCCAGGGCCAGGGGCGUCCACUUCCGCAGUCAGAGUCCUCCUGUGCCAGCCCUCCCUGCCCCUCCCCGGGGGAGCGGCAACCCCUCGGGGCGCGGAAACUGGGAGGCGGCGGAGGGGAGACCGGCUCCUGCCAGGGCCGCUCCGGGGGUGCAGGGCUGGGCCCCCGACCCCGCCCUAGGCCCGGGGGCCUCCCCCGCCCCCUCGGGAAUCCAGCUCUCCGCGGGGCCGAGGGGGCCGAGGAGGUGGCGAAGCCGAGCGCGCUGACACACGCGCCUGGAAUUCCCGGGGUGGGGGCGGCCGCCGGCCUCCGCGACCCCUCCGAACUGGGCCGGCCCCAGCCCGCGGGGGCAAGAGGAGGCCGGCUCCCCGACGGGGCGGGGCGCGCAGCGAGUGUCUCCUCCCCUCAGGGCCGCCAGGCGCGGUGCCUCCAGGUGCUGCAGCCCUGCCGCCCUGCGCGUUCCCACCCGCACCUCACAGCCACCGCGCCACUGGUGCGCAUCCCAGCUGCCUCGGUUGCCCGCUCUGUGCCAGGGGCGUUCCUUCCAUCACUGCAGGGGUCACCAGGGUCUGGGAGUUGAUACAUGGACGGUGUCUGGAACGGUGUCUGGUGAACCCCCAGUGAGGGGGGCUUGUUACAGCUGCCGUGGAGGAGAGACAGGCCGCGGGACCCAGCGACAGAGCCCCGUCCACACCCCUUUGGGUCGGCUCACACGUGCUUGUGUGGGGAUGGGUCACACAAGGGUGUGUGCCCUGUGCUCCUUUGUGUGUGACGGUGUGGGCAUGUGAGUGUGUGCUGGUGUGAAUGUAUGCUCACGCGAGCAUGCACGUGUGUCCAUGUGCCCACAGGAGUGUGAGUGUGUACACACACACAUGUUGGCCACUUCCAUGGCGAGUUGUGCAGUGCAGUGGGGGGUCAUGGGUGCCACACACACACACACACACACCCUGUCAGCCCUCACCAAGGAGCACUUUGCCAUCUGGGGGUCCAGGCGUGUGUGGUGGGCCCAGCUCCUGGGGAGGGCAGGCCUGUGCCCCAGCCACAGAUAUUCAGCCCAGCUCAUCCUCCAGGCCAAGGGAUCCCUGAGCUGAGGUGACAACAGAGCCCAGGAAGGGGAGCCAGCACAGGAAGACCCCAGUCCUGACACACAGGCCACUGGCACCAAGGAUGGGGGGCGCUCACCGAAGGCCAGGACUGACUGGUCCCAGGGAGGAAGGGUCCUCUGGGCAGAAAUGCUGGGGAGCUGGUGGCCUUCAGGGACACUGUCACCAGAACCAGAAGAACUGUGGUGCAUGGAGCCCCCUCCCUGGAGGAUGUGCCCCACACCCACUGGCAGUGGGAGGAGCGGGGGUCUCAGGCUACAAGCCAAGGCUUGUGCUUUUGCCCUGUGUCCAGAGGCCAGGCAGGUGUCCCCGAACCCCAGCCCAGCCCUUUACCCAAAGGCCAGCGCGGCCCCAUGGACUGGCCUGGCCCCUCUUUGGCCUGUGAGCCCCGCCCUUCCAGGCUCCGCUCUGUGCUCCCCCCCCGUGGUUUUGGGGGCCGGUGGAUGACCCUGGGUUCCGUCCACCCCAGCCUCAUCCCUCCUGCCCCGACCAUCAGUCUGCUGGCUCUGACCAGACAGGCAGCGUGGUGCCUGUGGCAGGACCCCAGGCAGGGGCGGGGAGGCGAGGGGGGAGCCCGGGCGGACAGGGAGCCCCACCACCCAUUCACUCACCAAAGCCCCAUUCAAAAGGCACUGGGGGCCUCCAGGCCAGCGCGCUGGUGGCUGCCCAGGGACGGGUUAGAGUCAGGGUGGGCCUCUGAGGCUGGAGGAUGGGAAAGGCCCCCCGAGGCGACACGCACUCGGGUCUGAAAGGGAGUGGGCGCUGCAGUCUCCCGAAGACCUCGGGAGCCUGGCCAGCGCUUCUCCCAGCCUGGACUGGCAGAGGCCUCAGGCUGACCACAUCCCACAGCUGAGCACCCGCAGGGCAUCUGCACCCCGCAUAGCUGGGGCUGCCCUCCUCUCAUGUGCAGACCCAGCCCUAGUCCCUGCUUCCCCUGCGGGCAUCCUCCAGGGACCGUGUGCCUCGGCCCUAAUGGCCUUCAGCUACCCGCAGGAUCCGCUCCAAACUCCUGGCCGGUUGUUUGCAGCCUCCCCUGCACGAACCAUCCCCCAGGGACGCUGCUCCGGCCCAGCAGCCCCACUGCCUGUGGCCCCCACAGCUCAGUCCCCAGGGCCUGCCCACUGCCCUGCCCCUCUCCCCAUCCCCUCUUCAGGUCCUUCCUCACCCACCUGGCAAAGGCUCUUCCCUCACCCAAGGGCAGAGGGCAGGUGGCUUCAUACCACCAGUGGCCACCAGGGGGCGCCAUGUCUUGGAUGUGGCGUUGGGGUGCAUCAGAGCCUCUUACCUGGGAGCUGGGAGUGGGGACUGGGGUCAGAAAAGACUGACCGUUGGCUGCCGCCUUCUGGGCUUCUUGACGGCUCUGCCAGGUGGUUACUGUGAGCCCACUCCCCAGGUGAGGAAACUGAGGCCGGAGACGGGGAUGCCACCCAGCCUGGCUCUUGGGAAAGUAAGGUUCGGGUCUCUAAGGGUUCUCCAAGUCCACCUUGUAUCUGCUGUGUUGCCUCCACCUUGCUGUGUGACUGGGAAAGUCACCUGACCUCUCUGGUGCUCAGUUCCUCCACCUGUAAAGUGGGGGUGGGAAGGCAUUGCCUUGGCCGGGCAGGGCCAGCCACUAGUCAGAGCGCGGGGCUCUGCCUCCAGCCUGUGCUGGCUGGUCUCUGUCCCCCUCCUCUGGAGCAGGGCUCCACCCCCACUCCCAGCACGGGUGCCUCUGAAGGCUGCCACCUCAGUAGGCCAGGCCUUGUGCCCGUAGGGUGGGGGUCUGCAGGGCAGUUCAGCUCUGCUCCAGCCAGCAGGGAACAGACUCUUCCAGGGUGCUUCUGGGGCUGCAACCAGGACAGGCGAGGUCGCCUUCCUGCCAGCGAGCGAGUCACCGCAGGCUGAGUGCGUACGUGUGUGAGCGCAUCUGA